AAUUCCAUUCUAUGCAUACAAUUCCAACAACUAAAACAAACACAUUGCAAUAAACCAGCAGCAUCACACAUCAUUACUAAUCCAAGAAUUGUCAUGGUUUUCAGGCCUUCAAUUAAAACACCUACACUUCUUGCCAAGUCACUUACUCCCAGCUAGUGCAAACACAGUUACAAGCAAACCAAAAUGCAUAAAAACACCAAACAAUGGCAUCUCUCCAAAUGAUCCAACCCCUCUGCAUCCUUGCAAGCAUCUUCACGAUAAGCAAAUCCGUAGGAAAAAGUCAACUUAGCAUGUGCUCCCUCUGUCAACUCUCCAGAGUAGAUUUUUGUGGUCACGUCCUUGCAUGUUGGAAACAAUCACUGGUUAAGAUUACACUCUUUUGUAGAGGAAAGAAUAGCUACUUUGGAUUCAAUAAGAAAAGGAACAUUUAUUUUGAACUGAAAAGAACAAGCAGGCAAGAAUGCUAUCAAUCUUUUGGCUAGAAUUUCACAAAAUGCACCUGUCAAGUGUACUCUAACAAUCGACGUGUCCCAUCUCCUCAUGAUUAAGGACUUUAGCUGAGCCGACAACAUGGAGCAAGAUGUAGUCGUUUCCGAG
rnacentral:lncRNA from 1 species